rnacentral:rRNA from 1 species
CCUACGGGGUGCUGCAGUGGGGAAUAUUGCACAAUGGGGGAAACCCUGAUGCAGCAACGCCGCGUGAGUGAGGAAGUAUUUCGGUAUGUAAAGCUCUAUCAGCAGGGAAUUGAAAAGAAGGUACCUGAAAAAGAAGCCUCGGCUAACUACGUGCCAGCAGCCGCGGUAAUACGUAGGGGGCAAGCGUUAUCCGGAUUUACUGGGUGUAAAGGGAGCGUAGACGGGAAGGCAAGUCAGAAGUGAAAGCCCGUGGCCCAACCCCGGGACUGCUCUUGGAACUGCGUGGCUGGAGUGCAGGAGGGGCAGGCGGAAUUCCUGGUGUAGCGGUGAAAUGCGUAGAUAUCAGGAGGAACACCGGUGGCGAAGGCAGCUUACCAAUCUAUAACUGACGUUGAGGCACGAAAGCGUGGGGAGCAAACAGGAUUAGAUACCCCAGUAGUC